rnacentral:lncRNA from 1 species
AUGCCACCAGCAGUUGGAAGUUCAGUUGGAUACACCCCUUCAGACAGAUGUUGGGGGUGGGCAGUCGUAGUGGAAGCUUUCAUUUCCAUCAACUUCUCUUAGCAUUUCUCAAAUAUAUUACUGUCUUCUUCAAAGAGAUGGAAGGUAUACUCCAUGCCACCACCAGCAAAGUGUCACAGAUAUGCUCCAUCAUGCUGCCUGUCAUGUAUGGUGGAGGUCUCAUCAGCAGUAUCCUGGUGAAUAAUUUGGCAGUUGUUCAGUCAUGAUUGUUGGUGUUGCUUGUCAGGCUGUAGCUUGAUUGUGGCUUCUUUCUGUAGCAUUAUACAGGAACUUUACUUGUGUAUAGGAAUCAUUGGAGGUCUUGGGCUUUCCUUUAACUUGAACCUAGCUCUGACCAUGAUUGGCAAGCAUUUCUAUAGGAAGUGACCAUUGGCCAACAGACUGGCCAUGGCAGGCAGCCUCUCUAUGCUGGCCUCCUCAGUAAGGCUUUCUUUGGUAUCUACGGAUGGAGAGGAAGCUUCCUAAUUCUUGGGGGCUUCCCUGCUAAACUGCUGCGUAGCUGGAGACCCGAUGUGACCAAUAAGGUCCAAGCCAACAAAGGCAGGGAAAGAGGUCUAAAGAAUUCCUUCAGGAAGCUGAAAAAUCAGAUGCAAAAAAGGUGCAGGUGAUACAAUACAGAUCUUAUUGGAGGACACCCAAAAGAAGGGAAAUGAUUAAUCUUCCAAACAAUUAAUACAUUCUUGUACUCAUCCCUGUUUACUCAGAGAGAUUUUUUUUGCUGUACCUCUCUGGAAAUGUGCUCACAUUUUUCUGGACUCUUUACACCUUUGGCCUUUCUCAGUAAUGAUGGCAAGAGUCAGUAUCACUCCAGGAGAAGUCUGCCUUCCUUCUUUCCCUUCUGGCUUUUGUUGACACACAGCAAGGCCUUCUAUGGGACUUGCAGCCAACACAAAGCAGAUAAGGCCUCAAGUUCUCAAGUUCAGUAUUUCUUUGCUGCUUCCAUUAUCAUGAACGGAAUGUGCCAUUUGCUAGCACCUUUAUCCACCAGCUAUAUUGAGUUCUGUGUCUCUGUGGGAUUCUUUGGAUUUACCUUAGUGGCUCAGUUCCAUAUUGUUUGAAAUACUGAUGGACCUCAUUGGACCCAGAGGUCCUCCAGCACUGUGGGUUUGGUUUACCAUUGUGGGAUGCUGCUGUGUGGGAUGCUGCUGUGUCCCCCUGGGGCCACCAUUUUUAGGUAAUCUCAAUGACUUAUUGAAAUUACAAAUAGACAUAUGGGCAUAUGGCAUAAUCUUAAUUAUUGCAGGUGUCUAGCUCUUCAUUGUUAGGUGAUAGGUAUCAAUUAUCAACUUUUGGUAAAAGAAUAGAAAGCAGAAGAGAAACAGGAAAAGGAAAGUAAAAAGAGAAGAACAGCAUAGAUGUUACUGAGAAGUCCAAAGUAGUUACUAAAGAAGAGGACUCCCCUAACUAGAAAGGUACAGAAGAUGGCCCCAGUGAAGAGGAGAGUCCAGGC